rnacentral:rRNA from 1 species
GGAGGUAGUGACAAUAAAUCACAAUGCGGAACAAUGUUUUGCAAUUGGAUUGAGAACAACGUACAAACCUUAUCGAUAAACAAUUGGAGGGCAAGUCUGGUGCCAGCAGCCGCGGUAAUUCCAGCUCCAAUAGCGUAUAUUAACGUUGUUGCAGUUAAAAAGCUCGUAGUUGAAAUGAAGGGUGGUUGUGUAAUGAAUACAUUCGUGUAUUUUGUUAUUCUACUACCCUCCUUCUAAAUUCGAUAUAUGAGUAUUAAUUUACUUGUAUAUGGUUUUAGACCUUUACUGUGAGAAAAUUAGAGUGUUCAAAGCAGGCAUUUGCUUGAAUAUAUUAGCAUGGAAUAAUCAUGUAUGAUUUUCAUGAUGUAUUUGAUUGGUUUGGUUCAUGAGAAUAAGAUUAAAAGGGACAGUUGGGGGUAUUCAUAUUCAAUAGUCAGAGGUGAAAUUCUCGGAUUUAUGGAAGAUGAACAUGGGCUAAAGC